CGUACCGUACGUACCUGCCUCGGGGACUCUGUAGUUUGUGUCCCAUAAUCUUCGAGUCGAGUGACACUUUUGUUUCGAAUUUGUGCACGUGGCAUUUUUAUCAUUUUCAUAUUUUAUGCUAUGAUAUAACACGUAAUAUUGAAGAAAAAUGUCCCUACGGAAGAGUCCAUGGACCAUGAGGGCAAGACGCAGAAAGCGAAGACAACACUCUUACAGUAUCUACGUUUAUUAAAAACACAACUGAUAUCACCCAGAAGACAAGUGUUCCAAGACUGGGGUGAACUUUUUAAGCUGCAAGCUUGAAAACAAGGCGAAGAUGUUUAUUGCUGAGUUCAGCCACCUCAUGGGGAGCUGGAUGAAAAUGAUUGUAAAUCAUCAAAUAAUGGAAUGCUGUGUGCUUUAUGUCACGGGAGAUCGCGGGCAGAGCGGCGAUCGUGCAGAAGGAGCAGGCAAGCAAGCGGGAUACGGGAAAACGGGGGUUUAUUUGAGGCAAUCCGGGGCAGGGAAUACAGGACGGCAACAGACAUCAAUGACGGACAAAGGACUCGGGUAAGACACGGACUGAAAUACACAGGACUGAUUGAAAAUAAGCAGACACAGCUGGGUACAAUCCGGGAAACACACGUGGGUAAGCAGGGGGCGUGGCACACAGGAGGAGCCGACGAGCAGGGCAUGACACUUUAUCUAUACUCUGAAUGUAAAAAAGUGCUUUAAAUCCAUUGUGAAAGGUUCCCACAGGCAGCAUCAGCUGCAGUGCUGGGGGAUGAAGGGAUAUGUAGGGUGAAGGGAUGUUUAGGAUGUGUAGGAUGAAGGGAUGUGUAGAAUGUGUGGGAUGAAGGGAUGUGUAGGAGGGCUGUAAACUCGUGUGAUUGUAAGAAUGGAUAAAAAUUCUCAUUUGCUUUCUUUGAAAUAUUGGGUAACUAAGCAAAUACAACAGGCAUUAAUGAGUUCUUUCUUAAUGCUCCAGUACAAAAACCCACAGAUUACCCUUCCUUAUAUGUUUUGAUGCUUUGAGAGAUCUAUAUAAAUGAUCUGUCAGCUUAAUGUUUUAAGUUAAUCUUCAUAUUCACAUAACAUUGCGUGAAAUCAUAGCUUGAGAAUUCAGCUUCUUAUUCUGUUCCAAUACACCGUCAAUUUUAAACAUCCCUCUUGUGGCAGGGGGCCUGGAGCUCGGCCCAAGCGGCAUAAGGCACAUGGCUGGGGUCCGUCCUGAACAGGACACCAGUCCAUCGCAGGGCACACACGCACACAAUACAGGCAAAGGCUUCGUUGGAUGCAGAAAUAUUAAGGGGAAUGUAUAAAUCAACUCUGAUGCAAAAAUAAAGAAGCAGGUUCAUUUUAAAAAAAAUAUCCAAGUUCUAUCCAGUAAUAUCAUAUUGAAACAUAACUGCCAGUAGGUGUCUCUGUUUGUCUAGAUUUGUAAGACGAGCAGGUCACUAACCAGGGGGGCCGUACAGCACCAGACAGCUUUUUAUUGGUAUUAGUGAAGCAUGUCUUUCUUGAGGCUGUCCGUCCCCUUUUCAUUUAAGUUGCCUUAACUUUAUUAAAUAUCCAGUUUUGAUCUCCUUGCAGAUAUGAAGAUCAUUGAUAGAGCAGGAACCUCGUGCCCAGGAAGUAAAGUAAAAAGUUUAAUUAUUGAAAUGAUGUCACUUAAAAAAACCAAGCAGACUCUUUGGACACAGCAUAGAAACUCCUGUAAAAUUAGUAGAAAAUCUCUUAUAUUUUUCUUUUCUUGAGCACGUUGUUCGUCAUGAUAAAACUCUUACACAUGGAGAACUGUGUUAACUGACAGAGGAAACAGGAAGUGAAGCGAACAACCACAAAGCCUCUGAUGUCUGAAGAAACUCCAGAAAUCUCUAGUCUCUCUCUCACAACACGCUUGCAUGCCUGCAGCGUGUUUCCACUCUCUGGCAAAUGGGUCCCAUUUUGAAGGUCAAACCUAAAGCAUUUUGAGUUUUGAUAAGAUAAAAGAUUUCCUUUAAGACAGUGCAGUGACAAAAGCCACACUGUACCCUCUGGAAUACAGUGUCUGAGUUCCAAACCAGUCAGCCAGGGGUCGGUAAAAAUGCUCAGGGGUCCAAAUGCUUUUGUCUUUGCAUUCUUCUCCUGUAACCUAAAUAUACCAAAGUGGAUUUGUGCCCCUGAAUUGCCUUUAGUGUCUGUGAUGUGAAGGUCUGGCAUCUGUCCAACGUAAACUUGGCUGACCGCCAGCUCCAUUUGACCUUGGCCGGAGUGCUGAAGACACCUGAUGCAGAUUUUUAACAUGAUGUCAGAAGGUUUAAAUAAGGGAAUGUAUGGAUUAGCAUUAAUUCCAUACAAAAAAACCCGCAGACACAAAUGUUGCAAUUUUUUGUAGCCCUCGUAUCUUUUUAGAACAUUUAAUACCUUAAUUGAGAAAUUAUAUUUAACAUACAUGUUGAAAGAUACAAUUUAUAUAGCGAUUUGUUUUAUGAUUGACUUUCAGUUUUACAUGGACUGAUUCAAGGUACAAUGAUCCAGCUACAUCAUUUUCUACAAAAAAAACUCUGGUUUGCGGAAUUAAAA